rnacentral:rRNA from 1 species
GUGAACGCUGGCGGUAGGCCUAACACCUGCAGGUCGAACGGCAGCACAGUAAGAGCUUGCUCUUACGGGUGGCGAGUGGCGGACGGGUGAGGAAUACAUCGGAAUCUACUUUUUCGUGGGGGAUAACGUAGGGAAACUUACGCUAAUACCGCAUACGACCUACGGGUGAAAGCAGGGGAUCUUCGGACCUUGCGCGAUUGAAUGAGCCGAUGUCGGAUUAGCUAGUUGGCGGGGUAAAGGCCCACCAAGGCGACGAUCCGUAGCUGGUCUGAGAGGAUGAUCAGCCACACUGGAACUGAGACACGGUCCAGACUCCUACGGGAGGCAGCAGUGGGGAAUAUUGGACAAUGGGCGCAAGCCUGAUCCAGCCAUACCGCGUGGGUAAAGAAGGCCUUCGGGUUGUAAAGCCCUUUUGUUGGGAAAGAAAAGCAGCAGGUUAAUACCCCGCUGUUCUGACGGUACCCAAAGAAUAAGCACCGGCUAACUUCGUG